GGCACACAGGAGCAGGGGGACUUCCCCACUGCCCCCAGCUCCUGCUGGGCCCGGGCGUCGCAGGCGCGAGUCGGACUCCAGCUCCUCCUCACCCAGCUGUAAGAGGCAGCGGCGUGGCCACCACAGUGACUGAAGCCAGACCUGCUGACAGUUUCCAGCCUCCAGCAGACCCCCUCCCCGCCCCCCCUGCAGGGGCCCUGGCCCCAGAGACAGCCCCUGGCGGGAGGGCAGGGGGCAUAGCCUGGGGAGCCCCCGUGCGGCUUUGGGGUGGCCAAGUACAGCUACUUCUAUUUUUCUUUAAUUCACUCUUUGUACUUAAAUAAAGUUAUUUUAAGGGGAAAGUAUUUCACACUCAAGGGUAGGUUGUCACAUGUUCCAGUAGAAGGGGGCAGGGGAGAACAUGACGGUGUUGGGUUCCAGUAAGACCAGCCAGAGACCCUGGUGGGCCUGUCCCUGGGCAGUGAUGUCAGAUGUACCAGGAGACCUGGGUCACAUCUCACCCUGGGCGACAGGCUGGACAUGUAGAUCAUGAGGCUGAAGACUUGCACCUGGAGUCUCCCCCACCCCACUCCAGGUGCCAAGGGACCUGCCCCCUGGACUCCUUGGAGAGGGGGGCAAAGUGGGACACUAGCUCCCUCCCCCAGGCCUCCCCUCCUCUGCAGGGAGGGGACCUCUUACAACCCAGAAGAGUGAGCACAGGACCCAGGCUGGAUCCCUAAUAAGGACAUAUGCAUCUUUUGCUUCGGAUUUGAAAAUUAAUCAAACUAAAGAAAAUUAUGUCUGUCUAA